rnacentral:rRNA from 1 species
GGGGAUAACUAUUGGAAACGAUAGCUAAUACCGCAUAAGAGAGACUAACGCAUGUUAGUAAUUUAAAAGGGGCAAUUGCUCCACUAUGAGAUGGACCUGCGUUGUAUUAGCUAGUUGUGAGGUAAAGGCUCACCAAGGCGACGAUACAUAGCCGACCUGAGAGGGUGAUCGGCCACACUGGGACUGAGACACGGCCCAG